CCUGCCUGGAUGAUAGGCGAAGCUGACGCAGCCAUGCCGCGUGAAUGAUGAAGGUCUUAGGAUUGUAAAAUUCUUUCACCGGGGACGAUAAUGACGGUACCCGGAGAAGAAGCCCCGGCUAACUUCGUGCCAGCAGCCGCGGUAAUAAAUUAUGCCAG
rnacentral:rRNA from 1 species